CUUUUGGACCUGUGGUAAGGUAGUAUAUCAUGGUGGGAGCAUGUGAUAGAGCAAAACUCCUCACCUCAUGGCCAGGAAACAAAAGAGAGAAUGGGGGACUAGGGUCCCACAUACUCCUCAAGGUCAUGACCCAGAGACCUUUCAGUAGCCCCACUUUCCAAAGGCCCCACCACCUCCCAUUAGUGCCACUCUAGGAACCAAGCCUCAACACCUGGGAGCCUUUGAGGACACUCAGUGUUCAGUCUAUGGCAUUGUGGGAACUGCUCUGACAUUUGUGGGUCCCCUCUGUGAUGUUACCUCAUGACUUCCCAGCCACACAGAAGCCAACAGAAAGGAUCCCAGUUGAGUUUCCUUCCGUUUCAAUAACCACACUUGGCUCCCAGGGUUUAAAAAGUUAGUACAGAGGGGCCCAGUGGCUCCUGGGAACAGUCUUUCCUUUGCUUGGAUCUGCAGAUUGGGAUUUCUGUACACAGUCCCUCGGUUCCCAGUUCUGGCCUUGACAGGCUGCUAGCCCUCCUCUAGUUCCUCCUAGAGGGAGACAGACGGUUUCCUCCAUCUUUCCACGGGAUGCUUCACUUCCCCAGGCUCUGUGGCUCUUUGGUAUUUCCUUUUCAUUCUGAGACAUGUAGGAUGCUUCCAGAGAGUUCAGGGAGCUUGUGGAACGUUCAAAACAAAAUUGGUUUUGUUCACUUGACUCGUGGGGUGGCGGUGGUUUUUAACCUGAAUUUUGGAUAAGUGCUGGGCCGAGUUGCUGGGUGGGAGGGUUUGAGGGAGUGCGGAGAAGGCCUCGGGAGGAAGGAUUAGGUGUCUAGACUCAGGUUCAGUCAUUGGUGCAGGCUCAGGACCGACCCAGGAUGAGUCAUCCGCCUGGUGUCUGCUCUGGCCGGGUGAGGGCCUUCACACACCUUUUAUUUUUCUCUUUUAAUUGACACAUAAUAAUUGCACAUAUUUAUGACAGACAUUAUAAAAGAGCCCAGUCCUGCACAGACAAUAUUUUUCCUAUCCUUUGAAGGUAGACUGUUCUGUUGUGUCACACUUCAGCCAAAUAUGGUAUUCAAGCUGACUACCUACAUUCUGAGUCAUCUCUGGGCCUCUGUCUCAGGGUGAGAAAAGCAAUAUAUCUUAAAAGCAGUAGAAAUUAACUCUGACCAUACUUUGUUUUCCGUUAACAGGGAAACUGAGGCGCCUUCUCUGCUUUAUCAAAGGAGAUGUGACUUUCAUUCAGAUCCUUGUCUGUAAGCUCAGUCCUCCAGUCUCUCCAAUAGCAGGAAUCUCUGCUGUGGGUUGGUGAUAAGUUACAUACGUCUACGGACCAUUCCAGAAGGAAUAUCCUUGGACCCAUGCACUGGGCACAACCAGCGCAUACUAAUCAUUUACCAUACACAUGGCUGAAGGUGCUACUGUAGGAGAAAGGGGAGCAGUAGAUGUGACUUCUUCAUCAAGAAAUUCCACACCUCCUGGGGGAGGUCAUUGUGCCCAGUGAUACCCAUAAUCCAAAGCAGAAAGUGAUAAACAUCAUAAGCAAGGAGAAAUUGGAACACUGUGGGAAUGCAAAAUGGUGCGGCCCCUAUGGGAAAUGGCAUGGAAGAUCCUCUACAAAUGACAGUAGAAGGAACCACCUUAUGAUCAGCAGUUGCACUUCCAGUACACGGGGUUCUGAGGUGUCUUUCUUCCAGUCCUACCGAAGGAGAACUUGAUGUAACAGAGAAGAAUCAGAAGAGCCAGCCACAGCUCACCCCGCUUCUUCCAAGGGCUCCCCGACUAGAGGCUCCAGGGGAACCCCACCACCACAAGAUGCUUUCUGCAACCCCAGUGUGUAUGUUCUCGUGACCUCCCUGAUCCCCGUGCUGGAAAAAGAACACCAUCCAAGAGCGGGAAACCCCAGGGCUGUCCAAGGGCCAAAAGAAAGGCAGAGCCAUGCCAAGAGCUGUGUUUAGGAGCCCAGCCCUCUCUGGAGGUGGUCCUCCUGCUGUCACUGAGCUUCUCUUCACAGAGACGGGAGGAGGCUUCUGAAGGUCAAGAGCAACUGGGGAGCCAUUCAGGUGAGGGCAGCUGUGCGUCCUGGGUCCACUCUGACCACAUGGAAGAGACUGGCUAAUGGAGCCUGUUCCUGAGUGGGUCUGAAGGACAGAGCAGAGAGGUCGAGGCGGGGAGGCCGUUUAGUCGGGCUGCCUUCUCUCCUCUGCUGGGGUGGCAGAAUAAUGACCCCUCCCCAGCCACACCAAGAUGUCCCUGUUCUAGUUCCUGGAACUGGCGACCAUGUCACCUUUACAUGGCAGAAGGGACUUGGCAGAGGCAUUGAAGUUAAGGACCUCGAGAUGGGAAGAGCAUGCCGGAUUCUCCACGUAGACCUGUCAUCAUCACAGAGGUCCUCGUGAGAGGGAGGCAGGAGGGCCAGGGUCAGGGAGGGAGAUAUGAUGAGGUCGCAGUGAAGUGGCCACAAGCCGAGCUGCUAGGAGCUGGAGCAGGUGAGGAAUGAAUUCUCUAAAACCUGCAGCGGGCACACAGCUCUGUGGACACUGGAUUUUAGCCCCAUAAAUCCCAUCUCAGAUUUUUUUACUUCCAGAAGAAUAAAGCUGUGUUAUUUUAA